rnacentral:rRNA from 1 species
CACGUAGGGGGCAAGCGUUGUCCGGAUUUAUUGGGCGUAAAGAGCUCGUAGGCGGUACGGUAAGUCGGGUGUGAAACCUCCAGGCUCAACCUGGAGACGCCACCCGAUACUGCUGUGACUAGAGUCCGGUAGGGGAGCGUGGAAUUCCUGGUGUAGCGGUGAAAUGCGCAGAUAUCAGGAGGAACACCAGCGGCGAAGGCGGCGCUCUGGGCCGGAACUGACGCUGAGGAGCGAAAGCGUGGGGAGCAAACAGG